ACAUUAUUAACCCCUUCGUGACAUAUGGUGUUCGAGGAUCGUAAACAUCAGAUGUCAUAAAGGGGUUAAAAGAAGCUCUGAUUAACCCUUUGGAGUUCAAGAACUCCCCAAUUCAUUGAUUUUAAGACCCGUUUAGGGUUUAACAUGACAUGCGCGUUUGGUCACCCUGAAGAUUGACGUCAAGUCUGCCCACUCGGUGCGACUGAGAGCGUUACAUGAGCAUGUUGACGUUCUUUAUAUUUCAUCCUUCAACUCCAUCCCUGAAGCUUUCAAGAUGAUUAUAGCUUUUACACCUUUGCCACUAUUAAACUGACCCAAAGAAUGCUUAAAAAUCAUUUUGGAAAGCCUCCCACCUGGCACGCACAUCUCAAGUCUUUCCCUGCCAUUAGCCUAUCAAUAAACUGUCUGCAAAUGGAUGACAUCUCCCGAUCACACUCAAGUUACACUGUCUUAUAUCCUUGCAACACGUAGAUUCUAUUUACCGAGCCCCCCUUCCACCUGGGGAUCAAUUUUCUUUGUUUGUGACCAAAGCUAUUUUUUUUUCUCUUGUGCCAUCAGAGCGAUGUGGCGUGUUCCUCGUCUUCCAACGUGCUGGCUGAUUUUUUUUUUCCUUUCUUUUCUCUGUGUGUGCUCCUUGUCUGUCUAAGUCUGCGUCUGUCAGUCUCUGUUAGGACACAGUAUGGAGCUGUGAUGAUGCAGUAUGCCUUAGUUUCAGUGUAGGACGUACAUACACUUAUCCCUCUGUCUCUCUCUCUCUCGUCUCCCUCUCUCUCUUUCUCUCCAUGUCUUCUCUUUUUUCGUAUCUUGAAACCAACAUGUCUUUACAAAGGGACAAUCAGCAUGUCAAAGGAGC